AUUAGUGGCGAACGGGUGAGUAACACGUGGGCAAUCUGCCCUGCACUCUGGGACAAGCCCUGGAAACGGGGUCUAAUACCGGAUACGACCAUCUUGGGCAUCCUUGGUGGUGGAAAGCUCCGGCGGUGCAGGAUGAGCCCGCGGCCUAUCAGCUUGUUGGUGAGGUAACGGCUCACCAAGGCGACGACGGGUAGCCGGCCUGAGAGGGCGACCGGCCACACUGGGACUGAGACACGGCCCACACUCCUACGGGAGGCAGCAGUGGGGAAUAUUGCACAAUGGGCGAAAGCCUGAUGCAGCGACGCCGCGUGAGGGAUGACGGCCUUCGGGUUGUAAACCUCUUUCAGCAGGGAAGAAGCGAGAGUGACGGUACCUGCAGAAGAAGCGCCGGCUAACUACGUGCCAGCAGCCGCGGUAAUACGUAGGGCGCAAGCGUUGUCCGGAAUUAUUGGGCGUAAAGAGCUCGUAGGCGGCUUGUCGCGUCGGUUGUGAAAGCCCGGGGCUUAACCCCGGGUCUGCAGUCGAUACGGGCAGGCUAGAGUUCGGUAGGGGAGAUCGGAAUUCCUGGUGUAGCGGUGAAAUGCGCACAUAUCAGGAGGAACACCGGUGGCGAAGGCGGAUCUCUGGGCCGAUACU
rnacentral:rRNA from 1 species